rnacentral:rRNA from 1 species
GGCUGCAUGGGCGCAGUCUGAUGCAGCCAUGCCGCGUGAGUGAUGAAGGCCUUCGGGUUGUAAAGCUCUUUCCUAUGGAAGAAAAUGACUGUACUAAUAUGAUAAUGACCUGACAUUUCCAAGACAGAAAGCCUGAGUUUAUUACAUGCCAGCAGCCGCGAUAAUAA